rnacentral:rRNA from 1 species
GACGAACGCUGGCGGCGUGCUUAACACAUGCAAGUCGAACGGAAAGGCCCUGCUUUUGUGGGGUGCUCGAGUGGCGAACGGGUGAGUAACACGUGAGUAACCUGCCCUUGACUUUGGGAUAACUUCAGGAAACUGGGGCUAAUACCGGAUAGGAGCUCCUGCUGCAUGGUGGGGGUUGGAAAGUUUCGGCGGUUGGGGAUGGACUCGCGGCUUAUCAGCUUGUUGGUGGGGGAGUGGCUCACCAAGGCUUUGACGGGUCGCCGGCCUGAGAGGGUGACCGGCCACAGUGGGACUGAGAUACGGCGCAGACUCCUACGGGAGGCAGCAGUGGGGAAUAUGGCAGAAUGGGCGGAAGCCUGAUGCAGCAACGCCGCGUGCGGGAUGACGGCCUUCGGGUUGUAAACCGCUUUCGCCUGUGACGAAGCGGGAGUGACGGUAAUGGGUAAAGAAGCACCGGCUAACUACGUG